UGAUUUAAACCUGAAUCAUAGCUUCCUUCC
rnacentral:piRNA from 1 species